rnacentral:rRNA from 1 species
UACGUAGGGUGCGUGCGUUAAUCGGAAUUACUGGGCGUAAAGCGUGCGCAGGCGGUUCGUUGUGUCCGUCGUGAAAGCCCCGGGCUUAACCUGGGAACUGCGAUGGAAACUAGCGAGCUGGAGUGUGGCAGAGGGGGGUGGAAUUCCGCGUGUAGCAGUGAAAUGCGUAGAGAUGCGGAGGAACACCGAUGGCGAAGGCAGCCCCCUGGGCUAACACUGACGCUCAGGCACGAAAGCGUGGGGAGCAAGCAGG